rnacentral:rRNA from 1 species
UACGGAGGGUGCAAGCGUUAUCCGGAUUUACUGGGUUUAAAGGGUGCGUAGGUGGGUCUGUAAGUCAGUGGUGAAAUCUCCGGGCUUAACUCGGAAACUGCCAUUGAUACUAUAGGUCUUGAAUUAUCUGCAGGUGAGCGGAAUAUGUCAUGUAGCGGUGAAAUGCUUAGAUAUGACAUAGAACACCAAUUGCGAAGGCAGCUCACUACGGAUAUAUUGACACUGAGGCACGAAAGCGUGGGGAUCAAACAGG